rnacentral:lncRNA from 1 species
AAACUAUCUUGUUUUGCAAAAUUAAAUUGUGGCUUAAAAUUAAAAUUUUAUACUAUAUUUUAAUGACAGUAAAUUUUUAGGAGCUAAAAAAUAAAGAUUAAAAUAAAUACCGGUAUAUUAAUUUAUUAUAUUAGUAUUAAAUUGUCCAUUCAUGCCAAUUAAAACUUUAAAUUGCUAAUAUCUAAUAUUUAGUCUUAAAAAUAUCAGUUUCAAAUAUUUGUUCUAGGAUGACUUUAUAUAAUCUAAUCAUAGCAAUUCUACUUAACCCACAUUAUAAUGUUGCUCCCUUAUAUAUUUUUUAAUGCAACAUUCCAAUUAUUUGCUGAUUAUUAAAAGGUCGGUGCACUUCAGGGCCUAACCCAGGCUGCUACACCAAUCGAGAGAUCAUCUUCAUUUUCAUUUUUUGCACUGUUUUACAUUUUCUAUAGAUACUAAAUAGUGAGGCUAUUCAAAGCACAUACAAAUGUAUAGUUGGCCUCAUAUGAAAAAUGGGAUUCAAUGAGUCAAGAGCAGACCUCUCCUGAAAAAGUGAAGAUGUGGGACUUGAUAUUGAACCAGAGUGGAAAGUGGAAAUACAAUAUACUUCCAUGCAGCAAUCAGGCUUAUCUGAUGGAGAUGUCAAUUAUCAAUUAGACUGUGAUUAACAAGAUGGAUUCAGAAUUUAUAUAAAAAGUUUUAGUGUGUGGGAUUCAGAUUGGAUCUCUGGUUUGAAAACUGAAACAUUUCACAUAACUAAUCAGGACAAAACUAUUGGUAGAUUAUAUUAGGAAACAAAAUAUGGACAAUACAUAAUAAUUCUAAAAACAUAUGAAAAAUGUGUAUUUCAUGAUCUGCAUAUUUCCUCAUGUUCUAAGUUUAUGACAUCUGUAAUAUCUCUCUAAUAUAUAGCUGAGUUUGAAUCAAUGAGCCCAUGGUCAAUAUUAAACAUAAAUGUAGAUCUGUCAUUAUGAGCUGGUCUGGUCUGGACCCCUCCUAAAGAAAUUGGAAGUAUGGGAAUCAGAAAUUGAAUGCAGAUCUACCAGAAUGGAAGCAAUAGCAUGUUUCCAUUGUGGCAAUUUGGUCAAUAUUAUAAUUAGAUUAAUCAAACUAUCAAAUCUUGCAUAGGAUAUAUUUGGUAGUAGCCAUUUUUAGUCUAUAGAGGCUGAUCAUCCCUAUAUUAAUUCAAUUCCUAUUGCAAUAUGUCAUAGAAAGAAGAUCACAAAAAACAAAGUUUUUGCUGGAAUUGCAGAAAUAGAAAAAAUACAACUAAUCAUCCAUAAUGGAAUUAACCAGAAGAGUAAAGAUGGGAUCAACACUAUUCUUAAAAAGUGGAGAUGUGGGACUGGAAUUGAACCUGAAUCUUGCAAGAUGAUAAGAGAUUGCUUUUCCAUGCAGAUAUCUGAUUAACUUUAUAGUUGUGGAUAUUUUUAUCAAAUGUAUGAUAGAUGAAGGAAAGGAGGCACUAAUUGCAAUUUUGUCAAAGGGUGCCACAAUGGUAGCAGCAGUCCUAGUUUCAAAAUCAAAUAAUACAUGCCUUGGUAAUGUGGAGGAAUAUAUAAAGUGUGUUAAUGUCAUCAGAAAUACUUCAUGUAUAUUUGACACAGGACUAUUCAAAAUUAAAAAAUGUAUAAUGAAUAUUUAAAAUUUAAAUUAUUUUUUCUAAAUAUGGGAUGUAUUUUGACAAAUUUUAAUAUAAAAUAAAACUCAAAUUAAAUUCUUUAAAAAAAUCUGCAAGUCACAUGCUAGCAAUGCAGCAUCUUCUAAAUUACAAUGUUAAACUUUUAAUGAAUGCAAUGAGAUAACAUUUUUCAUUGAAUUUAUAUGCUUUUGUUAUGUUUUUAUUUUAUAUGUAAUAUACUAUACUAUUCUUUUGACAAUGUAGUCAGGGCCAGCUUGAGAAAAGUAAGGCCUGGUGCAAAGCUGUUGUGCAGAGCCUAAUAAUUUAUAUUAACUAUUAUUAAUUGAAUAAUAAUUUAAUUGAAGAGGAUCAUACAGAUAUACAGAAUCAUGGGGCCUUUUGUGAUAACAUCAUUUGCACCACCUUCCAGCCAGCCCUAUUUAUAAUUAUUAUUAUUAUUUUCUUUGCAAAAAAUAUUUUAUGAAAUUAUUAAACACUGAUAGGUAUUAACUUUUAUUAGUGGCAUUUUUUUUGUUUUCCUUUUAUUUUUUAACAUCCCAUUUUAACCAGAAUUUACUAAAUGCUAGAAUCAUUUCUGAGCCUACUGUGUUAAAAAAGCAGAUAUUGAUAUUGAUUUACCAAA